GGGCCGGUAGUUCAGCGGUAGAAUCGAAAGAUAUACUAUCCGCUUCGCAUGCGGAAGGUCGGGAGUUCAAUUCUCCUCCGGUCCA
rnacentral:tRNA from 1 species